rnacentral:rRNA from 1 species
GCCGCAGUAUUUUAACUGUGCAAAGGUAGCAUAAUCAUUUGUCUUUUAAUUGGAGACUAGUAUGAAUGAUUGGAUGAAAAAUAAACUUUUUUUGUUUUAUUUUAAAUAAUUUUCUUUUUUAGUUAAAAAGCUAAAAUGUUUUUAUUAGACGAGAAGACCCUAUAGAACUUUAUUUAAAUAUUAAUGACUAAAAUUAUAUAUUAUUUUGUUUAUUUAUUAAUAUUUAAAUUUUGUUGGGGUGACAGAUAAAUUUUAAUAACUUUAUUUAGAAUUUUUUCAUUAAUUAAUGAUUUUUUUGAUCCAUAUUUAAUGAUUAUAAGAUUAAGUUACCUUAGGGAUAACAGCGUAAUUUUUUUGGAGAGUUCUUAUUAAUAAAAAAGUUUGCGACCUCGAUGUUGGAUUAAA